rnacentral:misc_RNA from 1 species
UCCGUAGGUGAAACCUGCGGAGGGAUCAUUACAAGAACGCCCGGGCUUCGGCCUGGUUAUUCAUAACCCUUUGUUGUCCGACUCUGUUGCCUCCGGGGCGACCCUGCCUUCGGGCGGGGGCUCCGGGUGGACACUUCAAACUCUUGCGUAACUUUGCAGUCUGAGUAAACUUAAUUAAUAAAUUAAAACUUUUAACAACGGAUCUCUUGGUUCUGGCAUCGAUGAAGAACGCAGCGAAAUGCGAUAAGUAAUGUGAAUUGCAGAAUUCAGUGAAUCAUCGAAUCUUUGAACGCACAUUGCGCCCCCUGGUAUUCCGGGGGGCAUGCCUGUUCGAGCGUCAUUUCACCACUCAAGCCUCGCUUGGUAUUGGGCAACGCGGUCCGCCGCGUGCCUCAAAUCGUCCGGCUGGGUCUUCUGUCCCCUAAGCGUUGUGGAAACUAUUCGCUAAAGGGUGUUCGGGAGGCUACGCCGUAAAACAACCCCAUUUCUAAGGUUGACCUCGGAUCAGGUAGGGAUACCCGCUGAACUUAAGCAUAUCAAUAA